GGUUGAUUUAAAGAUGGAAAGGGGAUGUAAAGUUCCCACCACAAGGUGGCGGCAAAUGACAGCCCAUAGUUCCUGAAACGCCCGCAGCGGCGGGUUGCCAGGUGACCUGCGGUCUUGGGAUCUUUGUUCCCGUCGGGUUCAUCCAGAGAACCCGCAGCUCUGCCUGGGCAUCACCACAGUUAGCUGAUGUUGCCAGCAGGAAAGGGAUGAAGCUGAUGCGCCCAGAGGAUGUGAUUUCCAAGUCUAGCUGAAAGAGAUCCAGACACCCUGCACCCAGAUGGGGAGCUAUUUCACCAGGUGGGAUCACUCGUUUGCCUCCAGGGCGCCCAAGGCCAGGGGGCAGAGGGUGGGAGAAGAGAACCCACCCUGCACCUCCUACUCCACCUCCAGGACCCUCCUCUGUCCCUUGUAGUUCUGAUGGCGCAGACAGCCCCUGCACCGCGGAGAAGUUAAGCCCACGACUGGUCCCUGUGGCAAUCACAAACUUGUGGCUUGAAAAACAAUA